GCCUCUGUUUGUCGGUGCCGCGAGGAAACGUCGGUACCGGAGAGUCUGGACGUUAAAACUAACGGCGGAGCAGUGAGACUGGACGCUGAACACACCUGCUGCGUGAGGGUGUUUUCCAGGUGUUUUCCAGGUUCAGCUGCUGCAGCCUGGACACAAACACCAGAUCUCAUCUGACAAACAGGUGUCACCGCUUUGUCUACAGCAUAGUCCACGAUCACAGAAACGUCGUCCAUGAUCGCAGUGAGUCUUCCUACAGUGAAGAAGUUCUUUGAGACCAGGACAGAGGCCUCCAGGUGUCAUCACUUCAUGCACAACAUCAUCAACGAUCAGACACAUUGUCCAUGAUUGCUGAGACUUGUCAAAGAUGAGAGAGACAUUGUCCAUGAUCAGAGAAUAGUAUGGUGUCAAAACGGAUCAAAAAAUGGCACAGUAUAAUAAGGCGUCAAACAUUAGCAAAAAAUGUCACAGUAUAAUAUGGUGUCAAAAACAGUCAAAAAAUGUCAUAGUAUAGUAUGGCGUCAAAAAUGGUCAAAAAAUGUCAUAGUAUAGUGUGGUGUCAAAAAUUAGCAAAAAAUGUCAUAGUAUAGUAUGGCGUCAAAAAUCAUCAAAAAAUGUCAUAGUAUACUAUGGAGUCAAAAAUGGUUAAAAAAUGUCAUAGUAUAGUAUGGUGUCAAAAGUCAUCAAAAAAUGUCAUAGUAUAGUAUGGCGUCAAAAAUCAUCAAAAAAUGUCAUAGUAUAGUAUGGUGUCAAAAACGGUCAAAAAAUGUCAUAGUAUAGUAUGGCGUCAAAAAUCAUCAAAAAAUGUCAUAGUAUAGUAUGGCGUCAAAAAUCAUCAAAAAAUGUCAUAGUAUAGUAUGGCAUCAAAAAUCAUCAAAAAAUGUCAUAGUAUAGUAUGGCAUCAAAAAUCAUCAAAAAAUGUCAUAGUAUAGUAUGGUGUCAAAAACGGUCAAAAAAUGUCAUAGUAUAGUAUGGCGUCAAAAACGGUCAAAAAAUGUCAUAGUAUAGUAUGGCGUCAAAAACGGUCAAAAAAUGUCAUAGUAUAGUAUGGUGUCAAAAAUCAUCAAAAAAUGUCAUAGUAUAGUAUGGUGUCAAAAAUUAGCAAAAAAUGUCAUAGUAUAGUAAGGCGUCAAAAAUCAUCAAAAAAUGUCAUAGUAUAGUAUGGCGUCAAAAAUCAUCAAAAAAUUUCAUAGUAUAGUAUGGUGUCAAAAAUCAUCAAAAAAUGUCAUAGUAUAGUAUGGUGUCAAAAACGGUCAAAAAAUGUCAUAGUAUAGUGUGGCGUCAAAAAUUAGCAAAAAAUGUCAUAGUAUAGUAUGGCGUCAAAAAUUAGCAAAAAAUGUCAUAGUAUAGUAAGGCGUGAAAAGUCAUCAAAAAAUGUCA